CUCUGAUCGGUUUUCUCACGCCGGAGUAUUUGAAUUUCUUAAGUUACAAGUUAUUCCCCGAUUUACGGGUACGGGUACGUGUAUAUCACCCGUACCCGUAAACCGAAAUCGGGGUAUCUUAACCUCUCUAAUAGUGGGAUACGUCACGAUCUGGGAGAAAUCUCAGUGCAGCCAGCGAUACAGAGCGAGCAUAUACUUUCGAAGCUAGGUCGGCUUUCCAGGCCGAACACGAUCGAGGAAUUCGUCCUAAAAGACGAAAAAUAAUUAAACGAGAAAGAGCGAGAGAGAUAUACAGGGAUGUUUGAAAGAGAAAAAAGAUCUGAGAGGGAAAGAAAAAUGCAGGUGCGAUUUAUUAUCGAGCACGAAAAUAGGAAGAAAAUAGAAGCUAGUCGUUCGUGUACGUACACAAAGAGGGGAACGUGCUGUUGACUUCUGGCGACUGUGGGACAAAGAGAAAAUGUUACGCAGUACGAGCAACAUGUGAGUAAAAUAGCAUAAAUUUAUACAUUCAAAACUAGUCAAAACUGUACUUCUCGUAAUACCAUCCGCAUAUUUUAAAGACAGUGUCCUAUAAAUACGUGAAGUAAUUCGUAAAGUUCCUGAAACCCGAAGCUAUUAUAUAUUUCGAAUUUCCCAAUUUAAUACCCACACUGAAACAAUUAACAUGUAAUACUACAGAUAUACUCGAUAAAUGUAUAGUGUUCUAUACUGAAUUCUACAGAUCAGCAGAC